AUGGCAUUUGGUCUGAGGUCUGCAGAAUGGGAGUGGACGUGGAAACGCUCAGCCUGCGCUGCCGGCCUGUGUGUCAUAGCACUGGGGUUAGGAGGGGUGACGCCGUCGCCGUCCCAACUGACUAGAAGCUGCGGGAAGUUUCCAGCCUACCGGCCUGAUUUCUUUUUGGAAAGCAACUUCUUUAGUAGCUGUUUAGGAAACUACGGUGAACGGGGAAAAAGCAGACACCAGCUCGGCUUGUUGUUCAUGCCACGUCUGUAGAGUCACAUGCGAGAAGCUGAGAAGCUGCCUCUUUCUUGACCUGAAUGUCACCGUCGUCACCAUAAUCAUUUAUGGAGCGCUGACUAUAUG
rnacentral:lncRNA from 1 species